UACGUAGGGGGCAAGCGUUAUCCGGAUUUACUGGGUGUAAAGGGAGUGUAGGUGGUCAUGCAAGUCUGAAGUGAAAUCCCGGGGCUCAACCCCGUGACUGCUUUGGAAACUGUGUGACUGGAGUGCAGGAGAGGUAAGCGGAAUUCCUAGUGUAGCGGUGAAAUGCGUAGAUAUUAGGAAGAACACCGGUGGCGAAGGCGGCUUACUGGACUGUAACUGACACUGAGGCUCGAAAGCGUGGGGAGCAAAC
rnacentral:rRNA from 1 species